GACGAACGCUGGCGGCGUGCCUAAUACAUGCAAGUCGAACGCAGUUGCGAACGGGUGAGUAACGCGUAGGUAACUGCCUCUUAGCCGGGGAUAACUAUUGGAAACGAUAGCUAAUACCGCAUACUUUGUGAUUGACCUGCGUUGUAUUGACUAGGUGGUGAGGUUAAGGCUCACCAAGGACACGAUACAUAGCCGACCCUAGAGGGGGAGAGGGCACAACGGGACUGAGACACGGGCCAGAAGCCUAAGGGAGGCAGCAGGAGGGAAUAUUAGGCAAUGGACGGAAGGCUGACCGAGCAAAGCCGGGGGAGGGAAGAAGGGUUUCGGAUCGUAAAGAUCUGUUGUUAGAGGAGCGGUAACUAACCAGAAAGGGACGGCUAACUACGUGCCAGCAGCCGCGGUAAUAC
rnacentral:rRNA from 1 species